ensembl:misc_RNA Gm27741 predicted gene, 27741
CUUACCACACGCCAAGGAAGCAGGCACAGACUCCAACCCAGACCUAUGGAUUAAAACGCAGAGAGAAGGGGAAAGAAUGGGGGGGGGGCGCUUCGGGGAGCAGCACCUCGGCGAGGCCCCAGAGAGCUAACAGCCGCUGCCUUGGAGGGCGAGGUUAGCUGAAGAUUCCUAGAAGAAGAAUCUACUCUGGGGGGACAUUUCUAUUUUUAAUUUUUACUCGAUUCCUAAAACACCAAAGU